rnacentral:rRNA from 1 species
AUACGGAGGAUGCAAGCGUUAUCCGGAUUUAUUGGGUUUAAAGGGUGCGAAGGCUGUUCGGAACGUCAGGGGUGCAAGCCUGGCGCCUAACGCCGGAACUCCCUUUGAUACUUCCGAGCUGGAAUCCGGACGCCGUGGGAGGAAUGAGUUGUGCAGCGGUGAAAGGCAUAGACAUUACUAUGAACACCGAUUGCGAAGGCAUCUCACGAAUCCGUCAUUGACGCUGAGGCACGAAAGCGUGGGGAUCAAACAGGAUUAGAUACCCUGGUAGUUCACGCAGUAAACGAUGAUGACUAACCGUCGGCGAUACACAGUCGGUGGCCAAGCGAAAGCAAUAAGUCAUCCACCUGGGGAGUACGUUCGCAAGAAUGAAACUUAAAGGAAUUGACGGGG